AUCUCCACUAAUAUUACGUAGUAUGUACGCAGUUAAGCAACGUUGAGCGUGGAUAGUACUUGGAUGGGUGACCGCUUGGGAACACCACGUAACGUUGGCGUCU
rnacentral:rRNA from 1 species